ACCGUAAGCAGCAAACCUGGGUACAAUAUGCAUGUCUUAACGCUUGAUUAUGGUGCAGUAUAACAAAGAAAAACACUGCACUUAAUCGUUAUCGUAAGUGGAGUGUACACAAACACGGACUGAUGGAUAUUAAUUAUGAAGAGGAUGAAGAGAGAAGAAAGCGCCUACACAAAGACACGCCAGCUCAUGGCCACCACAUUUAGAAAUGAAUCCUCCUAAUUGAAUCAGAUUUCAAUAGUCCACUGCAAACCCCAGCUAGAAGAUGACCGAGCACAUGUUAUGCAUACGCCUGUGAUGAAUUUACCAUAGAGAAGCACUGUAUUGGAAGUCGAACUUUGCAGAUACUUUACUUUGGCCAGGAUACCAUUACUUUUCACAACGAAACUCGUCAUCAUACAUCUCGACAUCAAGUUCUUCACCUGUUUGUUUUUUGAAAUAUAAAUUAAGUUAUCUCUC